AUUGAACGCUGGCGGCAGGCUUAACACAUGCAAGUCGAACGGGUGUAGCAAUACAUCAGUGGCAGACGGGUGAGUAACACGUGGGAACCUUCCUAGGGGUACGGAACAACUCAGGGAAACUUGAGCUAAUACCGUAUACGUCCGUGAGGAGAAAGAUUUAUCGCCCUUAGACGGGCCCGCGUCGGAUUAGCUAGUUGGUGGGGUAACGGCCUACCAAGGCGACGAUCCGUAGCUGAUCUUAGAGGAUGAUCAGCCACACUGGGACUGGGACACGGCCCAGACUCCUACGGGAGGCAGCAGUGGGGAAUCUUGGACAAUGGGCGCAAGCCUGAUCCAGCCAUGCCGCGUGAGUGAGGAAGGCCUUAGGGUUGUAAAGCUCUUUUACCAGGGACGAUAAUGACGGUACCUGGAGAAUAAGCCCCGGCAAACUUCGUGCCAGCCGCCGCGGUAACAC
rnacentral:rRNA from 1 species